rnacentral:rRNA from 1 species
GAUGAACGCUGGCGGCGUGCCUAAUACAUGCAAGUCGAACGCAUAGCGAAAGGUGCUUGCACCUUUCAAGUGAGUGGCGAACGGGUGAGUAACACGUGGACAACCUGCCUCAAGGCUGGGGAUAACAUUUGGAAGCAGAUGCUAAUACCGAAUAAAACUUAGUGUCGCAUGACACAAAGUUAAAAGGCGCUUCGGCGUCACCUAGAGAUGGAUCCGCGGUGCAUUAGUUAGUUGGUGGGGUAAAGGCCUACCAAGACAAUGAUGCAUAGCCGAGUUGAGAGACUGAUCGGCCACAUUGGGACUGAGACACGGCCCAAACUCCUACGGGAGGCUGCAGUAGGGAAUCUUCCACAAUGGGCGAAAGCCUGAUGGAGCAACGCCGCGUGUGUGAUGAAGGCUUUCGGGUCGUAAAGCACUGUUGUAUGGGAAGAACAGCUAGAAUAGGAAAUGAUUUUAGUUUGACGGUACCAUACCAGAGAGGGACGGCUAAAUACGUG